ensembl:lncRNA
AUGAGGCCCAUGCUGGGCUCAAUGCACUGGAUCAUGGCAUUCCUCUCCAGCUUCAGUUGACGCUGGCAGCGCAGGAAGAGGCUCUCUAUCAAUCUGACCUGCCCCUAGUGGAUCCCAUGGAUGGCAGCCAGUCUGCACUUCCAGUGGUAAUGGGCUGAUACACCAUUGCUGCAAACGCUGCAGGUCUGAAGUUUAUCUGGUUGGUUAACAGUGCGGGAUGAGAAUUUGUGGCAGUUUCUCACUGAGUUUCUCCAAGCACAGAGGAUUUGAACUGUGAUAAAUGCUGGAAGACAUCGGAUAGCUGCCAGGUGGGAUGGGUAUUGCCAUCUGCGAUUCCUUCCAGCAGCCCAAGCUCUCUCCUCAGACACUAUUUUUCAGGAACAGCCACCCUCGGUGACACCUUUGACACCUCCUCACAUCCCUGGGCAGCUCGAAUUCCUC